CGAUAUACACAUACAUACAAUCUUAGGUGUACAAAUGGUAGAGGGAGAAAGUAAGCUAGCGAGUCUCCGGCGAUUGGCGGAGCUCCGGUGCGUGGUAGGCAUCAACCUGCUAAACCGAGACUAAGGAAUCUCAUGAUGGUGAGAGAUUGUUCAACAAUCAACAGAGUGGUGGUGGUGAUGUUCUCAGCCGUGACGGAUUGUUCAGGGGUGAGUAGGAAUGUGACUGGGAGUGAGUCGGGUUGGUAGAAUGAGUUCGACGAAUGGUGGGGGGUGACUCAGUGGGUUCUAGGUUGUGGAAUUUCUAGAAGCAUGUGGAGGCGGAACAAGUGGCGGGAGGGUGGCCGACUUGGUUUAGUGUGGUUUGAUUUGUUCUAAAAAAGUGAUUUUUUAACUACCUCAAAUUGGGGAUCUAGAUUCUAGAGUAAAGGCUGUAGAAUUAUGUACGAAUUCAAUUGAAGGUAGGAAGCAUGGCUGGUCAAUUUGUCAAGCUAAGAUAAGAUCCUUUUAAGGAGAAAAAUGGUGUGAGAUUACCAAGUUGUAGUGUGGAUAUAUAAUGUAAAUGAUGAUGAGUUUAAUUUGAAAUCAAGAACACCUGACCCAUAAAGAAUUUAUUUUAUUCAUUUA